UAAGGAAUAUUGGGCAAUGGACGCAAGUCUGACCCAGCCAUGCCGCGUGCAGGAUUGACGGCCCUACGGGUUGUAAACUGCUUUUAUGUAGGAAGAAACUCCCUUUCGUGAAUCGGGACUGACGGUACUACAUGAAUAAGCAUCGGCUAACUCCGUG
rnacentral:rRNA from 1 species